AACGAACGCUGGCGGCAGGCUUAACACAUGCAAGUCGAGCGCAUCCUUCGGGCUGAGCGGCGGACGGGUGAGUAACGCGUGGGAACGUGCCCUCUUCUACGGAAUAGCCUCGGGAAACUGAGAGUAAUGCCGUAUACGCCCGCAAGGGGAAAGAUUUAUCGGAGGAGGAUCGGCCCGCGUUGGAUUAGGUAGUUGGUGGGGUAACGGCCUACCAAGCCGACGAUCCAUAGCUGGUUUGAGAGGAUGAUCAGCCACACUGGGACUGAGACACGGCCCAGACUCCUACGGGAGGCAGCAGUGGGGAAUCUUGGACAAUGGGGGCAACCCUGAUCCAGCCAUGCCGCGUGAUCGAUGAAGGCCUUAGGGUUGUAAAGAUCUUUCAGCUGGGAAGAUAAUGACGGUACCAGCAGAAGAAGCCCCGGCUAACUCCGUG
rnacentral:rRNA from 1 species